rnacentral:rRNA from 1 species
CCUACGGGAGGCAGCAGUGAGGAAUAUUGGUCAAUGGGCUUACGCCUGAACCAGCCAAGUCGCGUGAGGGAAGACUGCCCUAUGGGUUGUAAACCUCUUUUGUCAGGGAGCAACGCCGGCUACGUGUAGCCGGACUGAGAGUACCUGAAGAAAAAGCAUCGGCUAACUCCGUGCCAGCAGCCGCGGUAAUACGGAGGAUGCGAGCGUUAUCCGGAUUUAAUGGGGUUAAAGGGUGCGUAGGCGGAAUGACAAGUCAGCGGUAAAAGCGCGGGGCUCAAACGCGCUCCGCCGUUGAAAAUGGCGUUCUUGAGUGGGCGAGAAGUAUGCGGAAUGCGUGGUGUAGCGGUGAAAUGCAUAGAUAUCACGCAGAACUCCGAUUGCGAAGGCAGCAUACCGGCGCCCAACUGACGCUGAAGCACGAAAGCGUGGGUAUCGAACAGGAUUAGAUACCCGUGUAGUC